AGCAGCCGCGGUAAUUCCAGCUCCAAUAGCGUAUAUUAAAGUUGCUGCAGUUAAAAAGCUCGUAGUUGAAUUUCGGGACCGAUAUAUCGGUCGUGCCUCGGUACGUACUGGUAUUUUCGGUUUCUACCUUCUGACGAACCUUGAUGUCAUUAAUUUGGUGUCUUGGGGAAUCAGGACUGUUACUUUGAAAAAAUUAGAGUGUUUAAAGCAGGCUCACGCUUGAAUACAUUAGCAUGGAAUAAUGAAAUAGGACGUUUGAUUCUAUUUUGUUGGUUUCUAGGAUCGACGUAAUGAUUAAUAGGAUAGUUGGGGGCAUUAGUAUUCAAUUGUCAGAGGUGAAAUUCUUGGAUUUAUUGAAGACUAACUACUGCGAAAGCAUUUGCCAAGGAUGUUUUCAUUAAUCAAGAACGAAAGUUAGGGGAUCGAAGACGAUCAGAUACCGUCGUAGUCUUAACCAUAAACUAUGCCGACUAGGGAUCGGAUGAUGUUAAUUUUUUUAAUGACUCAUUCGGCGCCUUAC
rnacentral:rRNA from 1 species